rnacentral:lncRNA from 1 species
CUUCCUUCUUUCUAAUCACAUCAUCAAAUAUAUUAACUAAUGUUCAUCACACAUUUGUUAAAGCAAUAGCUCACUAAAAUAACAAAUACACUAUAUCCUAUGGAGAACUAGCAACAUUGCUAAAGCUUAGCUCUGGAUGAGUAAACUGAUAUAUACUGAACAAAAAUAUAAACGCAACAUGCAACAAUUUCAAAGACUUUACUGAGUUACAGUUCAUAUAAGGAAAUCAAUCAAUUGAAAUAAAUUCAUUAGGCCCUCGUCUAUGGAUUUCACAUGACUGGGUAGUGGUGCAGCCAUGGGUGGGCCUUGGAGAACAUAUGCCCACCCACUUGGCAGCCAGGUCCACCCACUGGGGAGCCAGGCCCAGCCAAUCAGAAUUAGUUUUUCCCCACAAAAGGGCUUCAUUACAGACAGAAAUACUCCUCAGCGCCCCCUUAAACAUGCUUUACGGCACAUGUAUGUAUGUUUUUUUAGAAUAAAGAUUGAUGGCCAUUCUGAUAAACUGGUGAAAAAAAUCAAACUAAUUGCAAAAGAGGACCAGAACCUACGAUAUGAUUAAUCAAGGACUUUGGGAGUAUAAGGUUCUAUACACAAAAUGUAUGGUUUGGAUCUCAGAACUGUUUUGUGAUGUCUUCCUCUCAUGACUCAACAAGUACAUCACCUUACAUACAAUAAUGUUUUAUUGACAACCCAGCAUUGUGUGAUUGGAUUGCAGAUACAACCUUACAGCAUCAAGUUUAAAGGUGUUAGCACAGAUAAAUCGUAAAUUUAGUUUUUCCCUAAUCUGAAAUAUCUCUUAUGUGAAAGACCUAUGUGAAUAACUCAUUUUUGACCAAAAUGUCAGAUAGAACCUGUGUCUCCAUGUGUCUAGUAUGUGUUGAAAUGUAACGUUAUUGUCUGGUAGGAAGCCUGACGACGUCUCAUUAAUUCAGUUGUUAAUAUUAGACCUGAUCUUAAUCCUUAAUCCCUCUGUCUUCUCUUCAGGUUGCCUCUGGGAACAGUGGUUGACCAACUUGCCAGAUCAGGACUGAAGGGCAUCUUUGGUGGCCUCAGGGUGAUAGAGAGCUUCGAGGUUCUCAUGACAUAACUUCAGGUGGUUCUCUGUUAUCCUGCCCACUAGAGGAAAGCCCUCUUAUUCCUCGAGCCCCUGAUGAAGAUCUACAGCUUGUCCAGCGUGGCCCUCAGGUCAGCCCAGGGAGCCGGGGAUGGUUCCAUCAUCAGCGCCAUGGCCACUAUCAGGGCUCUAAGAGGUCUGAGUCUGUGCUGCUCCUAUAACACCCAGCACCUGAUCGUGAGAUUCCACUCCCUGGGUAAACCAGUGUAUGGUCCAGCUGUCCUGUGGAAGAGGAGAGCAUCGGUCCCACGUAAGCGCUGCCAAAGGAGGCUUUCUACCACCAGGCCUUCUGGUUGCUUGCCCCAUGAGACCAGCCCUGUCAUCUAGUGGAAAAGUGUCCCGACUGAAAGACCCCACAUAACACACUGGGAGUCACAUCUGUCCUCCCCUAGAAGACCAUGUGCCAUAUCCCCUGGUCUGCACCUGAUCUGGAAGUGUUAUUUGGUAUGUGUUGUAUGGUAACGUUAUGUCAGAGGUCCCACUGUUGUGUUCAUAUGUGUUGGGUUGAUGCUAUUAGGCCUGACUGUUAACCCUUGACCCCUGUCUGUGUGUCUCCAGGUUGCCUGUAGGAGCAGUUGUUGACCAACUCACCAGAUAUCGUCUGAAGGGCCAGGCUGUCUUUGGUGGUCUCAGGGUGAUAGAGAACAAUGAGGUUGUCAUUACACAACUUCAGGUGGUCCUCUGUCAUCCUGCCCACCAGGGUGGCUCUAAGGUCGGCCCAGGGAGCCGGGGACGUCUCCAUCACCAGCACCGUGGCCACAAUCAGAGCUCUGAGAGCAGCACAUCCCUGACUUUGGAAGCAUGGGUCUGUGCUGCUCUUAUAACACCCAGCACCUGAUCGUAAGCUUCCUCUUACUGGGUAGACCUAUGCAAGGACCAGCUGCCCACCCGAAGGAGACGAGAGGCUUGAGGAAUUUCAGCAGGAGGACCUCCACAACGGCAAAUAACAUCUCAUACCUGCUUCGCAAACUCCCAAGCCUUGCAAUCUCCUCACCACCACUACCCCAAAGCGAAAUUGCCCUACGUCGCCCAUCACCAUCACCAAGCCAGCUCCUGCUGAAGCCCAGCAAGCCCUCUGAGCUGUGGAGGCCUAAGGGGAGUCGGUCCACUAGCCCCACUGCUCUCCUGGACACCAUCACACCCCCUUCAAACUGUGGGGCCAGAGCCCAUGACCAUGGCCUCACCAUCCCUCCCUAUCUGCCAAUGACUGGAAUGAACUACAAAAAUCUCUAAAACUGGAAACACUUAUCUCUCUCACUAGCUUUAAGCACCAGCUGUCAGAGCAGCUCACAAAUUACUGCACCUGUACAUAGCCCAUCUAUAAUUUAGCCCAAACAACUACCUCUUCCCCUACUGUAUUUAUUUAUUUUGCUCCUUUGCACCCCAUUAUUUCUAUUUCUACUUUGCACUUUCUUCCACUGUAAAUCUACCAUUCCAGUGUUUUACUUGCUAUAUUGUAUUUACUUCGCCACCAUGGCCUUUUUUGCCUUUACCUCCCUUAUCUCACCUAAUUUGCUCACUUUGUAUAUAGAUUUAUUUUUCUACUAUAUUAUUGACUGUAGGUUUGUUUUACUCCAUGUGUAACUCUGUGUUGUUGUGUGUCAAACUGCUUUGCUUUAUCUUGGCCAGGUCGCAAUUGUAAAUCAGAACAUGUUUUCAACUUGCCUACCUGGUUAAAUGAAGGUGAAAUUAAAAAAAAUAAAAAAUAAAUCUCAGGGGUGGCAAUUGACCCAGAGGAGGAGAAGCAAAUCUCAGAUGGUGAGUUUCAAUGUUUUUUUGCACUACUAUUUAGAAAGUUAUAGAGGAGAAAGCUUGGGGCUGUAGUGAACGGAUGUACAGUAUUUAAAGUGGGAAUGGUGAACUGCAUUGUAUUUAUCCAAUGUGUUGUACACCUGUCAGAAGUUGACUAUAUUCUCUAGUCUUGCUUGCCAGACUCAUGGCGCUCCACACCCCAGUUGUGUGGGAGAUACACUGGGUGUUUCGAGAGACUAGGAUUCUCUAACUAUAGGAUUGUGUGCUGUGUACUGUUUUUACUCCUGACAGAGGCCAAGCAGAUGAAGAAGAACAAGAAGAAGAAGAUUUACGGAGUUUCUUCUCAAGGGUUUGGAAGACCCUUACAUCUUG